CGCACACGGAAAGCCGCUCUCCGAUGCGCCGCGCAGGAGCCUGACAGAGCAGAGCCGCCGCCUGACGACCGCUGCCGCUCCGUCCGUUGGCGCAGAGGACCCGUGCUUCCGCCGGUGACUGCGUCGACCCCCCGCGGCGCCGUCCGCUUCGUUACCGCCUCCCAACUUUUGCAGCGUGGGGCGUUUUGCCGUCGGACUCUCGCUCUCUGAAUCCCGGAGUCAGGCGUCAGACUUCCAACUUGAUGGCACGGUUCUGCGCGACGCGGCUGGAAAGUUGCGCUGCGCCGGGGAGCACGGACGCACACUUUGAGCGCUUUUUUUAACCGAGUCGCACGUUUUAGCAUGACGGCAGGUGAGUCACCCGCUGCGUGAGAGAGGCGCGCACACUCCACGGCUUCCCAGGUGCCGCGGAGGCAACGACGCGGAGGGGAUCGUGAUCUGAGCGGCGCACGGAGCUUCGGAGGACGCGGGGAACGCACCGAUGAGACCAUGGGUCCGUUGCUGUGUGAUGGGCGACUGACGCACCUCCUCUUUCCGCUCCUCCUCCUCCUUCGGGCCCCCCUGUUACUCAGCUUUGGUGAGCGCACCUGCCCCAAUAGCUGCCGAUGUGAGGGUAAAACCGUCCAUUGUGACUCAUCUGGAUUCAUCGAUGUCCCAGAAAACAUCUCUGUGGGUUGCCAAGGCCUCUCCUUGCGCUACAAUGAGCUCCACACGCUUCUACCGUAUCAGUUCGCCCACCUCAGCCAGCUGCUUUGGAUUUACUUGGACCACAACCAGAUUUCAGCCGUUGACAGUCGUGCAUUCCAGGGGGUCCGCAGACUCAAAGAGCUCAUACUGAGCUCCAACAGGAUCGCGUCCCUGCACAACUCAACAUUCCAUGGGAUUCCUAAUCUUCGCAGCCUAGACCUGUCCUAUAACAAACUGGAAAUCCUGCAGCCGGGUCAAUUCCAUGGCUUACGAAAACUCCAAAACCUACACCUUCGCUCAAACGGUCUCUCCAACAUCCCAAUCCGAGCAUUUCUAGAGUGCAGAAGUUUGGAAUUUCUGGAUUUGGGCUACAAUCGAAUCAAAGCCCUUACACGCACCACCUUUUUAGGCCUGCAGAAGCUGAUGGAGUUGCAUUUGGAGCACAACCAGUUCUCACGGAUCAACUUUUUUCUUUUUCCACGUUUAGCCAACCUGAGGUCUCUCUACCUCCAAUGGAACCGCAUUAAGGUGGUGAACCAGGGCCUUCCAUGGACUUGGUAUACGCUGCAAAAACUUGACCUGUCUGGAAAUGAGAUCCAGACCCUGGACCCGGCCGUGUUCCACUGCUUGCCCAACCUCCAAGUCCUCAAUCUGGAGUCCAACAAACUGUCCAACGUGUCUCAGGAGGCGGUGUCAGCGUGGAUCUCCCUGACAUCCAUCAGCCUCGCAGGGAACAUGUGGGACUGUGGUACUGGCAUCUGCCCUCUCGUGGCUUGGUUGAGGAAUUUCCGGGGCAGUAAAGACACCACUAUGAUAUGCAGCAGCCCAAAGUAUCUCCAGGGAGAAAAAAUCAUGGAAGCCACAAGAAACCACGGCAUCUGUGAGGAAACUGAUUACAUUCUCACUGAAACGCCCUCACCAAUGUCAGAGCUCAUUUCCGAAGCCACUGCUGAACCGACCUUUGCUCCUACUAGCGGUUCUCCACCUUUGCCACCAACCAGCACCUUUGGUCCUCCUACGCCACUAAGACCUCGACCUAUCCCUCAUCCUACCUUUCCAGUGCACAUGAGCAAAGACCCAAGAGACUCUGUAGCUCGUGCUCGACCCACGCCCAUACCGCCCCCAGAGAUGGAGCACAUGACUCUGCACAAGGUGGUGGUGGGCAGCGUGGCGCUCUUCUUCACCAUGUCGCUAAUCUUAACAAUCGUCUAUGUUUUGUGGCGGCGCUACCCAGGCGCAACCAGGCUGCUUCACCAGCGGUCGAUGGUGGGUCGGAAGCGUCGCAAAAAGAGUCCAGAGCCCGAACAGAACCUGAGCUCCCAGCUUCAAGAGUAUUACAUGAGCUACAACCCUGCAGCCACACCAGAGGCAUUGGAGGUGCUAGGCAAUGGCACUGGCUCCUGCACUUGCACAAUUUCUGGCUCCAGGGAGUGUGAGGUAUGAUCCGUCGCAUCGCCCCAAAAAAUAAAACUCAAAAUCAAAAUGCAAAGGCCCAACAGAGAGAACGACUACACGUGUCCGCGCCCCCUUCCUGGUGCCUGGCUGGCAGACGUGCCUACUAUCCGUUAACCCCCAGAGGGAACUGCUUUGGAUGCUUCAGGAAACCCGGGAAAAACAGGGAUACGGGAGAAAGACUUAUGCAGAGAACCCGUCAGGAUUCUUCUCUCAUCAUUCAUUUCCAGGAUACAUUUUAAAGAGUCUCACGCGAAAUCAAAGGCAACCACGGACCAAGACGAGGAGAAGAUCCAAGUGUCUUUUUCUGUUUCUUAAGGUUUUAUAAGGUCUUUUUUGGCCUGAGGCCUGUGGUUUUUAGCUGUUGCUGCGUUUCAUCUUGCUUUGUCACCUCACAUGCAGUUCUACGGUCACUAGCGAACGCUGGAUGGAGACUCGUGAGCACAGAUGGAGCCUGUUGCAUAGACUAGAACAGCCCAACGUCUCCGUGAGGGAAACGGCCGAGCGGUUUAAGUGUAAAUGAGCGACGGGAAGCCUCUGCUAACACAGCUGUGUAUAAUCUAAAGCCUGUUUGAUUCCAUGUCAAGCAUCAUGUUCUCACGUUUCACCUUAUUUUCUUAUUUUUGAGAGACUAGUUGCAGGAUGUGCUGGUGUCCAUGUGCCUCACUGCAGCGGAGCGGACACAGAUCUGCUUCAUCAGGUGGAAGCGCGUCGGCAGCUGGGGCUUCGCUGGAAGCAUGAACGCCUGCCAGACAAAGCUGAGGACCUGGAUGCUUUUCCUUCUCCUUUUGCUUUUUGAACGUUGUUUCUAAUUGCAAUCAAACUUCACUGUGUAGUUUGAUUUGGAGGACACGCGGGGCAAUCAGAGGCAAAAGAGGGAAAAAACAACAAAAAAGCUCCCGUCGAGGGCAAAAUGUAAUUUUCUGAAAUGAUAAUGUUGUUAAUGUUGUACUUAAAUGAAUAUGUGUUGCUGCCAUUUCCAACACCAAAUACCAAAGAGCCACGUGUUUGGCUUUUUGAAUCCACCACCCGGGAUUUGCUGUCUUUGACGUGAUCCACUCCAAAAGAAUGGGGCGACGCCUGGACCCGUCACGUCCAGCAGCAGCGCCGCCGCCGCUCCCAUGUGUGUAACGUGUCCGUCUUUGUGAGGAAGCUUCACACUUUACACUUACACUGAACCCAACACACCCCUUUGACUGCAGCGUGUGGUUCUGCGUGUGCUCGUGUCUCAUCCACAGUUUGAUUAUGUUCAUGAGCUUUGGGUCAUGAAUUGUUUCAACCUUUCUACCCUGAAAACAGUCAUUUUCUAUUGUACAUCUCUGCUUUUCCCCUUAAAUUUGUUGAUCUUUAGUAACCAGCUGUAUUCUUUCUUCACUUUCAACAGUAUGUUGUAUGUUUGUAAUAAAAAUAACAUCUUUAUUGGUGAGCAAUAUGAAUCGGUCCAAUUAAAAUAUUCAUUAAUCUUU